AUGAAAGUCCUGUAAAUAGAAGACUGACUUAUCCACAGAACAGGUACUAUAUUAGCAGCACCAGUGCAAGCUUGCCUGAGCCAAACUUGACCUUAAGGGAGGCCCUCUGGAAAAGUCAGUGGAAUUCAGUCUCCAGAACCAUUCAGAGGCCAUU
ensembl:misc_RNA